CGUCCUAUUAGCUAGUUGGAGAGGUAAUAGCUCACCAAGGCUACGAUGGGUAGGGGUUCUUAGUGGAAAAUCCCCCACACUGGCACUGAGAUACGGGCCAGACUCCUACGGGAGGCAGCAGUAGGGAAUAUUGGUCAAUGGGCGCAAGCCUGAACCAGCCAUGCCGCGUGCAGGAUGAAAGCUCUCUGAGUUGUAAACUGCUUUUGUACAGGAGCAAAAAAGCCCCUGCGGGGGCUCUUGAGAGUACUGUAAGAAUUAAGCACCGGCUAAUUCCGUGCCAGCAGCCGCGGUAAUACGGAAGGUGCAAGCGUUAUCCGGUUUUAUUGGGUUUAAAGGGUGCGUAGGCGGCUUAUUAAGUCAGUUGUGAAAUCCUAGUGCUUAACGCUAGAACUGCGAUUGAUACUAUU
rnacentral:rRNA from 1 species